GCUGCUCCCAGCAAGUGCCCGGGAUGCCUCCUCGGUCUGUCACAGCUCAGGACUGUGCCGCUGCCGUUCCCUGACGCCCUCGGGUGCUGCUGCUGUGACGUGCAGGGCGCUUCCCUGGCACCCCAAACAGGGACCGCAACGGCACUUGCCGUGUUGUGCUGCCAUUUAUCUGGGAGGCAAAUAAGUGCAGCACUGGGCAUGUGCAGUGGGCUGAGUGGAUGAACGAAUGGAUGACGGUGACAGAUCUGCCCCAGAGGAGGAAGAGGAAGAUUUGCCACAACUGAAGAUUUUCAAAGGAAUGUGCCGCAAGCCCGGAAGGCCGUUGCCCAAGAGGAGCCAUGAACAUGCUGGGAGCGAUGGCGGCUCUGACCGAACAAGCUUUUCCGAGGGGCCGCUUUCACAGGCAGACACGAGUUUUUGGAGAGUCGAGCUUUGGCGUGUUUAUUGAAAAAGACACUUGGGUUGCUUUCAGGACCUCUGUGCUCUCAGCUCUUCUCUCUUCUUUAGCUCAGUUCCAAGAGGGCCAGGACGGAGGCUGGAAGCUCACUUGCUCCCGGGGCCGUUUCACAGAUGUUUCUACCUACUUGUCUCCUGCUAUCUGGGAGAUUGCUCCGGUUGCUCAGAUGUGUGGCAGGCUUGGUGGUGGCCCUGUGAUCUUUGAAAAUGUAUCCUCUGGGAGCUGCAUUUCUGCAAAAUGAGAAAUGCACAUAUUCUGCAGGGCUGUGAGAAUUAAA